CCUCAGACUGCGCAACGAGUGACGUGGCCGCAGCAGAAUUGAUCCCACGACGAAAGCGGCUCCAGAGAAACAGAGAGGGAGCUGGUGUUCCCCGUCUACGGUGAAGUAGUGGCCGCCAUCUGAACACCGAAAGCGGAUCUACAGGAUCGACUGCAGCCUGCAAACAGCAGUAGUGGACGACACCCAACAGGCUGUUAGCAGCCACAUGCGUUUUAUUCAGAUUUACUGAGAUCAGGGCGGUACACUUCGAAAUA